CGGCUGCAUUUUACAUAUGCAAUCACUAGGCUGUGAGUAUGAAGAGUUAUUGCCAUGACAACCAGGACUGACUGACUUAUCUUUCAGAAAUGGGAAAGUCUACUGCUUUAUCAUGAGUCUCCAAAUCAUCCAAAUAUAAUUUCUUACCAGAAUUCUUGUGGCUGGGCCUUUCAGAUGUGAAUUCCCCAAUGUGAGAACCUUUAAAUCCUUGCAUUAUGUGGGAUACUAGAAGAAAGUUUUAUUAAUAGAAAUCCAAGAGGAACAAAGGAGAACAGUAGAAAAACUUCAGAGCAGGCAAAGGGAGGAUUAAGGGACGAUAGAUUGCAGACUUGGUUUUGAUUUGCAUUGCUGUUCCAGAGUACAAAAAUACCUUCAAAGACCUAAUAGAAGAGAAAAAGAAGAUAUGCCAAUGGAGUGUUGGUGAGGCGACUUUGCUCUGCUAAGGAGAGCAGCAUCCUAGGAGAGCAACAAAAUGGACAGACUCGUUGAACAUCACAUUCCGUUCAAUCUGGCUUGCUCACCUGCCUCUGAAAGAAAAAGUCCUCGCUGGUGGGAGAAGAUUCUGGUUGCUUCCUGAAGAUGUGUGGGUUUCCAGUGCUAUUCUGCAGCUGAAUGCACAUUGAAGCAACUGCCCUAUUAAAGCCUUACUCCCUUGAGAUUAAUAACAUGUUAAGAACUGGCUCAACACCAAUCCCUGGGGACUACAGUGGAUCCCUUCCUUAUUAUGCGACAGACUGUUAUUUAUCAUUCAUGCCUGUUGUUUGCAUUCCUCUUGACAGUUUGCAAUCUUUGCAGGAGCCAUCCUAUCAAAGUCAGUUUGAGUGGAUUUUUAAAUUAGAGCUUUGGAAGGUACUGUAUUAAAUGUUUUACUGAAAUCUAACA